rnacentral:snoRNA from 1 species
CUGCUGUGAUGAGUGUUCAAGUGACUGACCUGGUAUUGCUUCUCUCCGGGGACAGCUCUGACCAGGGCAUGAUCUGCAGUUAAUCUUCUCUCUGAGCAG